rnacentral:rRNA from 1 species
GGAAGUAAAAGUCGUAACAAGGUCUCCGUUGGUGAACCAGCGGAGGGAUCAUUACCGAGUUUACAACUCCCAAACCCCUGUGAACAUACCUUAAUGUUGCCUCGGCGGAUCAGCCCGCGCCCCGUAAAACGGGACGGCCCGCCAGAGGACCCAAACUCUAAUGUUUCUUAUUGUAACUUCUGAGUAAAACAAACAAAUAAAUCAAAACUUUCAACAACGGAUCUCUUGGUUCUGGCAUCGAUGAAGAACGCAGCAAAAUGCGAUAAGUAAUGUGAAUUGCAGAAUUCAGUGAAUCAUCGAAUCUUUGAACGCACAUUGCGCCGCUGGUAUUCCGGCGGGCAUGCCUGUUCGAGCGUCAUUUCAACCCUCAAGCCCCCGGGUUUGGUGUAGGGGAUCGGCUCUGCCCUUCUGGGCGGCGCCGCCCCCGAAAUACAUUGGCGGUCUCGCUGCAGCCUCCAUUGCGUAGUAGCUAACACCUCGCAGCUGGAACGCGGCGCGGCCAUGCCGUAAAACCCCAACUUCUGAAUGUUGACCUCGGAUCAGGUAGGAAUACCCGCUGAACUUAAGCAUAUCAAUAAGCGGAGGA